ACGUGAUCUCACACACAAAAGCACACACCUGCACAUAUAUAAUCCAUAUGACCACACACACAGAGGGCGGAAAAAAAGGGACGAACCUAGAAGCUUGGAAAAGAAAGCCGUCGCUUCCUUCCUCGUAUACAUGUUCCUCUGGCUUUCCUCCAUUAACGUGGUAGCAGCUCCACCACUAGCCUUAGGACACCGUCUUUUAGUUAGCAAUAAAAUCACCGAACUCCAUAACCCAAAGCUAAGCUCCUUUGGUUCAGCAGCCAAAAAAUACCAUAGUCAAAAUAACCCCUGCUUGCCAUUCAAAUCAUUUGAAUUGUGAGUCAGUUGUUAUUAAAUAUGUCAAUUCUUCUUUUAGAACACCAGAUCUCGUUUUUGCCGAGUUGUAUCUAAGUUGGGAAUGUAGAAGACAUUUGAAUUUGCUGCACGCGAUUCCGUCUGUGGUCUCUGAUCCCGGUCGCGUCCCUAUUUUAGCCCAAGGUUUAAGAGAACGUUGAUUUAUUGAGGUCCAACUCUUACUUUAUUUCUCUGAUCUCUUUUGGCUUGCUAGCUGAUCUUAUAAAUGGCUUGAAUUUGAAAUUGAAUGUGUUAUAUUUUGUUGGUUGUCCAAAGUACUUUGGUGCCAUGAAUCUGAUAUUUUAGUAGUUCGGAUUAAUCCUCUCGGUGAUCUAUUAUUGUUGAUAAAAUCUAUAUUAAAAAAUGGUAAGAGUGAAAAAAAUAAGAUGAGCGUGUCGUGAGAUUUGGGGCAAACAAAAUUAAAUAUGUUCUGGCCUUAAAAUAGUUGUUAUUUUAACUUUAUUUGUUUUAAAGUCGCUAAGAGCAAGCUUAGGCCGGAAACAUUUGGAUAGGCAAACAUUAGGCUUUCUUUAUUUCACUUUUAAUUGAGGCGAGAGGUCGUUUAUUUUAGUUUAUUAUCUUGGGAAUGUCCUACGAAGUUUGUAUAUAUUUUUAUCUGGGGCAUUGCCCCGAAAUAUUUGUAUUUUGAGGCGGAAAGUAUAACUCGUUGUAUUUUUUUUUUCAUGUUUUCUUUUAUUAGGUGGUGACGACCUCGAGUCUCUUGUGUGUUUUUUCUUUUCUGUGUUAAUUUUUACCUCAAUUUGAAUAUCUUAAAAGCUAAAUAGAUCGAGUAUGCAACCGUACUACUUAUGGGACUCGGGGAAUGUCAAACACUUUCUCCCCGAGUCAAAUGAACCCCUUUACCCGAAUCUUUGGUGACGACUUAGUUUUUGAGUCUAAAGUGUUUUAAGAGGAAAAAUCAUUUUUAGAAAAACGGUGACCUAACACAUCGAAAUCAAAUUUCAGGCGGAGACUCUGAGUUAAUCCUUUUAAAUACAAUUCUUUGUCAUGUUCUAAUUGAAAACCUUUUCAUGCUUCACAAAAUCUUUUUAUUAUUUUUAAGAGGGUUAAGUGAAAGUUGGUAAAAAAGGGGUGUGACAAGAAGACAUGUCUGUUUCGCUUUUAAAGAAGAAAAUAAAUUCUUAAAGGAAUUAAACAAAUAAUUGCACAUGGGGAAUGGGGGGGNNNNNNNNNNNNNNNNNNNNNNNNNNNNNNNNNNNNNNNNNNNNNNNNNNNNNNNNNNNNNNNNNNNNNNNNNNNNNNNNNNNNNNNNNNNNNNNNNNNNNNNNNNNNNNNNNNNNNNNNNNNNNNNNNNNNNNNNNNNNNNNNNNNNNNNNNNNNNNNNNNNNNNNNNNNNNNNNNNNNNNNNNNNNNNNNNNNNNNNNNNNNNNNNNNNNNNNNNNNNNNNNNNNNNNNNNNNNNNNNNNNNNNNNNNNNNNNNNNNNNNNNNNNNNNNNNNNNNNNNNNNNNNNNNNNNNNNNNNNNNNNNNNNNNNNNNNNNNNNNNNNNNNNNNNNNNNNNNNNNNNNNNNNNNNNNNNNNNNNNNNGGGGGGGGGGGGGGGACAAAUUCACAAGAAUAAUCUAAAAUGGUAAAAGCCUGAAUAUCCCUAGUAGAGUCGUCAUGCUGUCGCACCCCCUUUUUCCUUUCCAUCGGAGAGGAGUCCGGGUUUUGACAUUCAUCGGGGUGUAAUGACUCAUUUGUUUUUGGGAAUUGAGUAUUUGAAGAGUCGCCAUCUAACGAUUUUUUAAGGUGCGUUAGGGAACAUAUAUAGUUCAACUACAAUGAUGUUUGAUAAUCAGAGAUAUGUUAAGGGCUUGAAAUUAUUCUAAGGGAGGUGUUAGACACCACUCAGGAUCCCUUAUUGCGGUUCCCGGCCAAAGUUUUUUUUGGUGAAUUUGUGCAAUUAGCAAAUAAAUAAGUAAUGCUCAAAUAACAGGGGAGGGGGAGGGGGUUAAGUUUAACUAUAGAAAUAUUUUUAAUCAAUUACCGAAAGGAAGGUUUUGAAAAGAGUUGCAAUCUAAGCGUACUUAUAAAAGAAAAUAAAAUGGUGUCCUAGGUUUAUUAGUAAUAUGGAUCACAUCAAUGCAAUACUCGGUAUGACACUUCUCAGAAGAAGGGAUACACGUGGUAUUAGCGUAUCGAUCAUCAUAUCUACAUCUACCCUUUCCCGCCUAAUAAAGGUAAUUAGAGCGAUAAUUGGUCUAGAUUCUUAUUGUAUGUUACUAUCCAUCCUUUCCAAUCAGUCCCGGAGGAAUUUUAGGACUCCUAUUAUGAUAAGAAGGAAGUUCUAGAUAGACCCUCAUGUUAAAAAGUAAAACUGCUAAAGUUACAUACAAAACAUAUAAGACUAAUUAUGGGGGAAACAUAUAAGCAUAUACAAGGCUUAAGUAUUCCCGCAAAUAGUGCACUUAGGAAGAAUGAAUUAUGCACAGUUAAGGUUUGAAUUUUAAACACCUAAAUCAGGGUGUUCAAGCCAGAACUAGAUUCAUUAUAUAACUUAGAAAAGAAGUAUGAAUCAGGCAUGUUUGCUAGUUGUAACAGUCUAGAAUUAAACAGAGGUAAUUCCUAUUUUAUUUAAGUAAUUACCUAAGGCUUGCCUAGGCAUGAGUAAUAUUUAGUAAUUAUUCAGGAUCGAUGAGGCGAUUUAGAUCUUAUUAUUACCUAAAACAUGUUGUUCUAGUUAUAGAGAUUAUUACUAGUUAUUCAGAAACUUUGCAAUGUAAUCUAGUACGUUAUUACCUUUUCGUGAUUCAGUAAUUAACUAGGCAUUUUUAAACAAGAUGCAAAUAGGAUACUAGAAUAUGUAUUCUAAUAUGCACACGCAGAUGACCGAGUUCGUCAAGCGUGGCUGCUAAAUUAAAGAGUUGUAGAAUUGUUAAGGAACAACUUCAUGAGUAAGAAUUUUAUUUAUUAGACCUAAUGUAGGAUUUUUAAGUGAUGGACAUGAAGCAUAGAUUAAUAAAUGAGAUGUUGAACCAUGAAACAUGAACCCUAAGAACAUGAUUUCUAAUGCAUUGUGUGAAUCCUAAACAUCAUUUCUAUUGCACAACUUGGAAUAUAAAUCUAAUAAUAUAUUUUUACACUUUAGCUAUAGCAUGCAUAUCUCCUAUCACUUUUCACUAGCCAACCACGUAAUUAUUUACAAAUUAUUGCAAACAAUGUGAUGGAAUUACAUAAGCAGAAAGAAAAAUAAGAAGUUACAACCUUAGGAAUCCUAAUCUUGAUUUACUCUCUGAGUUAUGUAAUAAACCAAUUUAAAUACUAAUUUUGUUCCAAGCCUUUCUCAUACCUGGGUAUAUAGGAGUUCCCUAAGAACCUCAAAGGAUCCCGGGCAGUGCUCACACCUAGAUUGUAUAACCAAGAGUAAGUGUAGUGUGGAAGGGUCAACCCUUAUGUGUGCAGGUUCAGAGGGAGCUCAAGGUUCCCUAAAGCAAGGCUCACACAAGAGGGGGAGAAUCUAAUGAUCUAAGAGUGCAUGUGAGAGUGCUGGAUAAAGACUAGUAGGAGUUGAGUCGGGAAAUACUUUUAGAAACAACAUAUUUGAAGUGAGUUUGUAAAACAACAGAAGAAUUGCCUAACAAACAAUUUUUGAAAUGGAAAGGGGGUAGGAGCACACACACAUAACUAGUUCAUAAAGAAUUACAUGCUUCAGCAGUUACAAACAGGGGAAUAGAGGGGUUGGGGACAUAGAAGACCCAUAUUAGAAAGACACAAUUACUAAUGAAUCACGUACAUUAUAGACAUGCUACAUGAAGGGCAUAAACAUGAUUAAGUAGAUAUGCUGAUCAUAUUUGAACAAAGAGGGACAUAAUUUUAAGCAUGUAGAGUAAAGUAAUAAACAAACAGUAAAACUCAACAGCACGAGCCGUUAAGCUAGAAAAAGACAGUGAUUGACAACAAGGGAACACAUAGGUUUGAGUUUCAGAAUUUAAAGUAGGAACAUACCACUUGAAGGAACAAAGUGCAGAAAAAGUAAAGCAAUUAGAGUUCCAAAGCCUAGCCUAGGCUUUCAACUGACUAGACAAGGCAGUAGUAGUAGAGAAAGAAAGAGAGUUUGAAUAUGUAAGGGUGUGUUAUUGAACUUAGUUGUUCGUGUCUUGUUAAUGAAAGCGUUGAGGUAUUUAUAGCUUUUAAAACGAGUAGAAAAAAAUAAGGUAACAAGUAAAGGUUUACCAUAAAUAUGGAAGUAAUCACAGUCAGAAUAAAUUAAUACAAAUAUUCCCUUUAAUCAAGGAAUUACUGCUCAAACGGAUACUAAAGGGAUAAUUAAGGAAAGAAAAUCAAUUUGAGAAAGAUUGAUUUCUGAUCAUAUAUGGGAUAGUAAAAGUAUAGAGUAAAUAAUUAAGUCUUAGUGCAAAAUAUAUAUAUACCUCCGCAAACAGUUCAUUAUAGCUUUUAAAACGAGUAGAAAAAAAUAAGGUAACAAGUAAAGGUUUACCAUAAAUAUGGAAGUAAUCACAGUCAGAAUAAAUUAAUACAAAUAUUCCCUUUAAUCAAGGAAUUACUGCUCAAACGGAUACUAAAGGGAUAAUUAAGGAAAGAAAAUCAAUUUGAGAAAGAUUGAUUUCUGAUCAUAUAUGGGAUAGUAAAAGUAUAAAGUAAAUAAUUGAGUCUAAGCACAAAACUAUACCUAAUUUUGGGAAGGGAUUCAACAAGGGUAAAACACCACAACAUAGGAAGGGAAUCAGUCAGUUUAAACAAAACGAGUGAAACUAGGGGUUUAUAAGAAAAUAUUUGCAAUCAGUCGUAACUUGAGAAAUCAAUAACCAAGAAAGAAUCAUGAUUCUGCACUUCGCCAUAUAAAUAGGGAAGAAUGAACUUUUAAAGCCAACCGUAUUGACAAAAGAAACAACUAGAUGCACAAGAACAUACAACAAUAACUGGAGUAGGCUAGGGCUCAGUAGUAAAAGAAUGUACUCGAAGCAUAGUAGUCAACGAAGUUAAGAUAUCAUAUAGAACCAUUAAUUAAAAACAGUCUACAUAGUGACAGGUAGAGGAGAUCAGACCAACACAUCGAAAUAAGUGGAAGAAGUCUUUGAAAACUCAAAAUAACAAGUAAUAAAAGUUUUACGAAAUUAUGGUUUUAACAAUAAUCGAGUUAAAAAUGAUAAGAACUAUGAAUCAGUGAACAAAGAAGAGGAUCUAAACACAAAGAACUUAAUUGAAACAAGUGUUCACACAAAAUACACAAAGACAGUUUCAGAACCCAGAUAAAGGCAAAAAUACCUAGGGUCGUAACAUGAUGAACCAGGUAGAAGAAAAACAUAACCAAAUCCUUUAAACAUAUUAAAAUCAUAAAACAACACUAAAAAUCGGAGAAGAUAUCUUUUUUUUUAAAAAGGUUGAGAAACCCUAAUCGUUGAAUACGAAGAGUCGUUUAAAAACACGAAAAAACCUUCAGGGAAAACAUUUGAGAGGUUCAUAACAUAUGCAGAUCCAAGACAGAUCUGAAAGAAAAUCGGAAAGCCUUUGAAGUUAGGGUUUUGAAGGACCCAGAAAUAUGAGAAAGGCUUCGAAAAGUUAUUGAUCUAGGAUCUGACUCGAAAAACCAUGGAUGGAAGGAAAGAGGCCAUGUGUAGAAGUUGAGCAAAAACUGGAUGAGAUCUCUUUGAGAUCUGCCCAUGAAGUAACACAAGCGGGCCACCACUGGACGUAGGAGACCGGUGGGAGUCCAUGGAUGGGGUGGGGUUGAAGGGAAUUAAGGUGAAUUCGGGCGGCGGCGGCAGCAGCUAGGGUUUGAGUGCAAUUGCUGAGAGAAUUGGAGAGGAAGGGGAUUCAAGGACCGCGAGUCGGUGAGAAUGAUUUAGGUUCGGGUGGUCAUUUGGAUUAAAAAAUGUAAGGGUGAAUGAUGUCUGUUGAUCUUUGUGAUUAAUGGCUAGGAUGAGAACGGUUCUGGGUCAGGUAAGUUUUAACUAGGUCAGGGGUGGGUUAUAAUUAGAAAUUGGGGCAUGAUUUGGUUAUAAUUGAAAGCCUAAUGUGGCUACGAGUUAAAUAGCCAUUUCCCCUUUUAAUUUAUAAAAAACAACAAAUAGUUUUCUGAAAAUAAAGUCAAAGUACUAAUAUAAUUUAUAAUACAUAAUUAACAAUAUAAAAAUACAAGACUCAAUUUUAUGAAUAAAAAACACAAUUAAACCUAAAAAUGGCUAAUACUGCAAUUAAAAUUCAAUUUAGCUUUAAAAUACUAAAUGAAAUUGUAAAUAUAUGUGAAAAAAUACCUUAGCCAUAUUUUGGCAUAACAAUAAAAAUCCAAUAGAUGAUUUAUCAAAAUAAUAAUAUUGGAAAUAAUUAUUGGGAUUUUAUGGAUUAAAAAGGGGAAAAAAUAAAUUAAUUUUGUCCUAUAAAUGUAUGGAAAAAUAAUAAGACACUUGGACAUGCUAUUUUGAUGUUUGUUUUGCAUAUUGAAAAUAUAUAGGGAAAAAUUGGGUAUCAAUAGAGGGUGCAUAGGUUUAUUAUAGGGUUGUAUUCCGGCAUCAGGGCCAACAUGGCCCGAAAGGUGGAUGAGGACUCCUUAUCAGUUGGUAGUGGAUAUUGCUCAGAGGAUUGAGGGCUACCGUCUUAGAGGUAGGGAGCAGAAGCAGCAGGAUAAGAGGGCUAGCUUCUUCGGAGAGUUCAAAGGUGCCCCCGGCUAGGGGUAGAGGUCACUUUGGGAGGGGACAACCUAGCAGGCCCCCAUAUUAAACACCACCACCUGCUCGGGGUGAUUCAGUGUUCCCCUAUUUCAACGGUAUAGCAGAGAGUUCUUGUCGCCCACCAGCCAUUCAAGGUUCUUUCAGGGGUAUUCGGGUCCUCAGGGUUCUUCUAAUUUUUAAUUUAGUGCUAUGCCGGAGAGUUUAUACCAUCCACUGGCUAUUGAGGCUUCACCUAGUGGGUCUAUAGUCCAUCAAGGUCAGCCAUUAGGGUAGUAGGUCGCCGCACCGCCAGAAUGUUUCGAGUGCGGUGACCUUGGUCAUAUGAGGAGAUACUGCCCCAGGAUUCGGGGCAAGGCAGUUCAAAGGUUUAGCAGCCUAUGGUUUCAGCACCAGCAGCUCAGCCACCUAAAGGUGGAUGGCAGAUUGGUUAGGGCCGUCAUAGAGGUGGAGGCCAGGCAGGGAGAGGUCAACGAACUACUUCUCAGUCAGGUGGAGGCCAUCCAACCGAUGCUCCAACUAGAUUCUAUACCCUUCUGGCUAGGCCAGAUACAUUGGCCUCAGAUGCUGUCAUCAUAUGUGUUAUAUACGUCUGAGGAAGAUAUGCUUCGUCAUUAUUUGAUGGGUCUACCUAUUUAUAUGUGUCAUCUAUGUUUGCUUGUUUUCUGGUUAUUUCUCUUGAGCCCUUUGGCACUUCUGCUCAUGUGUCCGAUCUUGUGAGUAAUUCUGUGGUUGUGGAUUGGGUCUACCAGUCCUGUAUGGUCAUAUUCUGUGGUUUUGAGACUAGAGCAGAUCUCCUAUUGCUUGAUAUGAUCGAUUUUGAGAUCAUCCUGGGCGUGGAUUGGUUAUCUCCAUAUCACACCGUCCUAGAUUGCAUGCCAAUAAUGUUACUUUAGCGAUGCUACGGUUGCUAGGGUUGGAGUGGAAAGGUUACACAGUUGAUACAUCUAGCCGCAUUAUCUCUUUCCUGAAAGCUCGACAAAUGGUCGAGAUGGGGUUUUUGGCAUAUUUGGCUUAUGUUCGGGACACCGCCGCAGAGUUUCCGAUGAUUGAUUCAGUUCCAGUAGUUUGGGAGUUCGCCGAUGUGUUUCCUUCUGAUCUUCCUGGCAUGCCACCAAAUAGUGAUAUCAUUUCUGUAUUAAUUUGGCUUCAGGUAUCUUGCCUAUAUCUAUCCCACCGUACUGCAUAGCUCUGAAGGAAUUCAGGAUUUGAAGGAGCAGCUUAAGGAGUUUUUAGCAAAGGGGUUUUUAGUCCUAGUGUAUCUCCUUGGGGUGCGCCAGUGUUAUUUGUGAAGAAUAAGGAUGGAACUAUGCGGAUGUGCAUUGGUUACCGUCAGUUGGACAAAGUCACCAUCAAGAAAAAGUAUCCAUUGCCUUGUAUCGAUUAUCUGUUUGGCCAAUUACUGGGUGCUAGGGUGUUCUCUAAGAUCGACUUGAAGUCAGGGUACCAUCAAUUGAAGAUUUCGGAUUCGGAUGUUCUGAAGACUGCAUUCUAGACUAGAUAAGGCCAUUAUGAGUUUCUAGUGAUGUCAUUUGGCUUGACUAAUGCCCUAGCAGCAUUUAUGGACUUGAUAAACAUGGAGUUCAGGGUUAUAUUGAUUCCUUUGUCAUCGUCUUCAUUGAAGACAACUUGAUAUACUCCCGUAUCCUGGGGAGCACGAACAACAUCUGAGGGUAGUGCUUCAGACCUUGCGAGAAUAGAAGCUAUAUGCUAAGUUGUCCAAGUCUUAGUUUUGGCUAGAGUCGGUGGCAUUCUUGGGGAAUAUUCCAUAAUGAGAUGGUAUUAAGGUAAAUCCCAAGAAGAUUGUGGCAUUUUAGGGUUGACCACAUCCUACAUCAAUGACCGAGAUCGGGUGUUUCUUGGGGUUAGCAGGUUAUUACAGACGGUUCAUGCAGGGCUUCUCAUAUAUUGCAUCCCCGCUAACUAGAUUGACCUAGAAGGGUGCUCCUUUCCAUUGGUCCGAUGAUUGUGAGGUGAGUUUUCAGAAGCUCAAAACAGCUUUGACUACAACACCAGUUCUUGUGUUGCCUUCCAGUUCAGGGAUGUAUACAAUAUAUUGCAAUGCUUUUCGUGUUGGAUUGGGAUGUGUAUUGAUGCAGGAGGGGUGAGUUAUUGCAUAUGAUUCGCGUUAGCUAAAGAUCCAUGAGAAAAAUUAUCCGGUGCACGAUUUUGAGUUGGCCGCGAUUGUUCAUGCUCUUAAAUCUGGAGGCAUUAUCUGUACGGGGUACCAAGUGAGGUUUAUACUGAUCAUCGCAGCUUGCAGCACUUGCUCAAGCAGAUGGAUCUUAAUUUGAGGCAGUAUAGAUGGCUUGAGUUACUGAAGGAUUAUGACAUCGCCAUUCUUUAUCACCCGGGCAAGGAAAAUGUUGUCGUCGAUGCCUUAAGCAGGAAAGUAUCGAGUAUAGGUAGCCUGGCAUUCAUUCCAGCAGAGGAUAGGCAACUAGCUUUGGACAUUCAGUCCUUGGCUAAUAGAUUUGUGAAUUUGGAUAUUUUAGAGCCCAGCUAAGUUCUUGCCUGUGUGGUUGCUCAAUCUUCAUUAUUGGGGCAGAUCAAGGCCCGACAAUUUGAUGAUCCACAUUUGGCGGUUCUUAAAAAGAUUGUGCUAUAGGGUAGUGCCAAGGAGGCUUCUAUCGGCGAGGAUGGUGUUUUUCGACUCCAGAGUCGCCUAUGUGUUCCUAAUAUCGAUGGUCCUAGAGAGAGGAUUCUAGAUGAGGCACAUAGUUCACGCUAUUCUAUUCAUCUAGGUGCUACAAAGAUGUAUCGUGACCUGAGGCAACAUUAUUGGUGGAGUAGGAUGAAGAAAGACAUAGUGGAGUAUGUGGUUGGGUUUUUGAAUUGUUAGCAAGUCAAGUACAAGCGCCGGAGGUUGGGUGGGCUACCUCAGCAGAUACCUAUACCAUAGUGGAAGGGGAGCGCAUUACUAUGGACUUCGUAGUUGGGUUGCCCCGGACCUUGUGGAAGUUUGAUGCAGUAUGGGUCAUGGUGGACAGAUUGACCAAUUUGGCGCACUUUAUUUCGGUUGUGACUGCUUACACAUCAGAGAGAUUGGCCCAGAUUUACAUUCGGGAGUCCAGUUGCACGGUGUUCCUGUUUCCAUCAUAUCAAACCAACGCCCUCAGUUCACUUCCAUUUUUGGAGAGCUGUUCAAAGUGAAUUGUGGACUUGUGUAGAGCUUAUCAUAGAAUUCCACCCUCAGAACAACGGGCAGUCAGAGCGGACAAUUCAGAUCUUGGAGGACAUGCUCAGAUCAUGUAUGAUUGACUUUAGAGAACAGUGGGUCCCUUGGCAGAGUUUGCGUACAACAAUAGCUAUCAGUUCAGAGAUGGCUCCAUUCAAGGCUUUAUAUGGUCGACAAUGUCAUUCUCAUAUCUAAUGGUUUGAGCCUGGCAAGGCUAAGUUGUACGGUACAGAUUUGGUGUAUAGAUCCCUAGGACAAGGUAAAGUUGAUUGAGGAAAGGCUUCGCACAGCUCAGUCUAGAUAGAAGAGCUACGCCGAUCAAAAGGCGCGUGAUGUAUCAUUCAUGGUUUGCGAGAAGGUUCUCUUGAAAGUCUCGCCAAUGAAAGGCAUUAUGAGGUUUGGGAAGAAGGGCAAGUUGAGCCCUAGGUUUAUUGGCCACUUUGAGGUGUUGAGACGAGUUGGGGAGGUUGCUUACGAGCUUGCUCUAUCCCCACGCUUAUUGGGGGCUCAUCCAGUUUUUCAUGUAUCGAUUCUUCGAAAGUAACAUGCCGACUUAACCCAUAUGUUGGACUUCAGUACUAUUCAGCUUGAUGAGCAUUUGGGUUAUGAGGAGGAGCCAGUUGCCAUUAUUGAUAGGCAUGAUCGCUAUUUGAGGUCCAAGAGGAUUUCUGCGGUGAGGGUCUACUGGAUGGGCCAGCCAGUCGAAGAGGCAACCUGGGAGUCCAAAGAGGACAUGCAGAGUAUAUAUCCACAUUUAUUCAGCAGCUCAGCUACUUCUCUAUUUACGUUCGAGGUGAAACGUUUGUUUAAGAGGCAGAGAAUGUAACAACCUGACUGGUCAUUUUGCUUUUAGAACCUUGUUCCCUUAAAUAAAAAAAUUUCGCGCUUGCUUUACCUAAUUUAUGACCUGCAUGGAUGGUUGGUUCAAUAUUUGGAAGAUUUUGGGUUAAAAUAUGCUCAUAUUAUUCUUUAGAUUUUUCUUAAAAUUUUAAGUUUGACUUUGGUCAAUAAUUCAAGAAAACGGACCAGAUUCAUGUUUUGACAGUCCCGGAGGGUCUGUUGGAAAAUAUGGGACCUGGGCGUAGGCCCGGAAUCGGAUUCCAAGGUUCCUAGCCCGAGUAAUAAAUUUUUAUUAGAAAUUGUUAAACUAAGAUUCUAAGGAUUUAAAGAAACUAACUAAUGAUUGAUCACAUUGAAAUCGGGCUCGCAUGUUGGUUACGGAGCCUAAUACACGUCCAAAUAACAUUUAAGAGUUGCCCGCAAAAUUUAGUGUCAAUCCGAGUAGUUUAAGGGCGUUUCGGCUCGUUAGAGGAAAAUAAAGAACUUGAAGUUUAUAAGUUUGAUUCAAUUGGUUUUAGGGUGUGAUUCUUAGAUUUUGCAUUGUUUCGAGUGUUCCGAAGGUUCGAGUAGGUCUUUUUCAUAAUUUCAGACUUGUCACCAUGUUGGGGCGGGGCUCGAGCCGCGAGCACCAAUCGGACGAGGCUCGAGUUAAGAUGGAAUUUUGAGAAGUCCUGAAUCAUGUGCUUCUGUCAUAACUGUACAUGCGGUUGGUCGACCGCAUGUGCGUGACCGCAGAAGCGGUCCACCUAUCGUAGAUGCAACCAAGGUAGGCCAGGCCAAGAACCGCAGGAGCAUCUCCCAAGCAGCGGACGUGGCUCCGCAGAAGCGGUGUAAGACCACAGAAGCGAUCGUAGCCCGCUUGGCCGGUUCUGCAGACGUGCCCGAUUUCUGGCAGUAGCGUGACCGCAGAUGCAGAAAUCGCUGAAGCAGUGAGCUUUAUUUAAUACGGGUUCUAAGUACAUUUUUGCCACUUUUCACUCCUUCAUUGGUGAUUUUGGGAGAUUCUGAGAGAAGACUUCCUCCCACCUAUUCUUACUUUAAUACUUGUGUCUUAGGUACAUUAAACAUAAGAUUAAGGAAAAAUCAUGGGGUUAGAGCAAAACCUAGUUUUUUUUGACAAAUGUUAGAUUUAACCACAAAAUUUGUUAUGAAAUGAAUUGGAAAUCAUAUAUUAUUGAUCCUUAGGUUAUAGAGAGCAAAUUUCUUUAAAAAAAUUUGAAAUCUGGGCAUAUGGGUCUGGGUUCGGAUUUUAGGGAACUUGUGUUGAGGGUUGGGAAAUUGCUUAAAUAGCUAGAAUAUGAUCUUGUGAGCUUAUAUUGACUAGUUCUUACCUCAUUUUACUAGUUUGGGAUCGUUUGGCUUCGAAUUGAGGGUUUGUGCUCGAUCUUGGUAUUGGAAGUGCACUUUGGAGCGAGGUAAGACUCCUUUCUAACCUUGUAAGACGAAAUUGUCCCCAUAGGUGUAAUAAUUGAGUAAUUUGCUACUAAAUGCGAGGCUACGUAUGCACUAGGUGAAGAGAGUCCGUGCGUAGCUACUAUUAUGUUAAUUGUCCGGCUAGUCUAGGACCCAUAUCAUGCUAUAUUUGUGAAUGCCUCUAUUGCUAAUGUGAUCACUUAGGAUAUGCUAGAGACUUGGAAAGGAAUAUAAGUGAAUGUAUACACUUGCUGGACACUGGUAUGAAUUUGUUUGAAAUGACCUGCGCUUUCAUAUGUUUUCUUGAUAUUAAUUGAUAUUUGUGGAUUGGGUCGAUCGCCUAGGUAGAAUAAAUGCAUCUAUGGUUUGCUCCAUUCUACCCUCUGAUAGUGCACAUUUUAUUUUUUGUUGGAUCGGGCCAUCGACCUCGGCAUAAUGUGCGAAUGAUAUCUGUGUGAAAUCUUAUCCAUGACAGGAUUUGCUAAAUGUUUGAAAUAUAAAUGUCUGACUGUAAAACUGUUAGGAACAUGAAUUAUUACCUCUUGCUACAAAAUGUCAAUUAAUUAUGACUCGCUUGCUUAUCAUAACGCUUUAUUAUAUUAUUUGACCCUAGUAAGUAUCAAGUCUACCUCUCGUCUCUACUUAUUCAACAUUAGACGGGAUACUUACUGGGUGCAUAUUGUUUAUGUACUCAUACUACACUUUUGUACUUAAUUGUACAAAAUUUGAGGCAGGUACAUCUGGUUAUCAGUCUGGUGCACGCCCUUGACUUAUAGUUCGAGACUUCCACGGUGAGCUGCUCCCUUCC
rnacentral:lncRNA from 1 species